rnacentral:rRNA from 1 species
CGGAAGGAUCAUUACCGAGUGCGGGCCCUCGCGGCCCAACCUCCCACCCUUGUCUCUAUACACCUGUUGCUUUGGCGGGCCCACCGGGGCCACCUGGUCGCCGGGGGACGCACGUCCCCGGGCCCGCGCCCGCCGAAGCGCUCUGUGAACCCUGAUGAAGAUGGGCUGUCUGAGUACUAUGAAAAUUGUCAAAACUUUCAACAAUGGAUCUCUUGGUUCCGGCAUCGAUGAAGAACGCAGCGAAAUGCGAUAAGUAAUGUGAAUUGCAGAAUUCCGUGAAUCAUCGAAUCUUUGAACGCACAUUGCGCCCCCUGGCAUUCCGGGGGGCAUGCCUGUCCGAGCGUCAUUUCUGCCCUCAAGCACGGCUUGUGUGUUGGGUGUGGUCCCCCCGGGGACCUGCCCGAAAGGCAGCGGCGACGUCCGUCUGGUCCUCGAGCGUAUGGGGCUCUGUCACUCGCUCGGGAAGGACCUGCGGGGGUUGGUCACCACCAUGUUUUUACCACGGUUGACCUCGGAUCAGGUAGGAGUUACCCGCUGAACUUAAGCAUAU